GUUUUGCUUCAUAAGACCUCAAUAUCAUGUCAGAAGCCACGGGUAAUAAUUUAGGUUCCCUUUCAGUCGGUCACGUUCUACAUUACGUCAGAAAGAGACUGACGAAUGGGGUCUCGCCCGAGAGCCCAAUCACCUUUGAGUGGUAACAAAACGAGCCAAUGGUACACAAUGUACCUUGGUCUGCGGGAUUUGCAUCGCGAGCGCCGCCCCGCUGUGUGGGUAUAUAAGGAGCAGCGCAAGCACCUCGCAUUCAAGCUUUAUCUUCGGAGCCGAGCACAUCUCUUGCUGAUUUCACACUGUGUCACGUGUCUGGGCUUUCAGCACGCUGAGACUGUGUUUGUGGAUGACUCAUGUUCUCAAUGCGGGGACAUGACCAUCUCGGCGUUAAGAUCGAGACUCGAUUAUCUGAAAAGGUAUAGAGUCCCCUCUGCCACACCCCGUUCUAGCUCCUCUUCUCAUAAGAGGGCUACUUCGGCUGGUGGCCAGGGUGAUGUGAGGGUUACUGUGUGGGUUUCCCCGACGAGCCAGCCUCCUCGGGCCACACCCCCCUCACAAACGCCACAGCCGGUUGAGUUUCUGGAUGAGUUUGCUGGACCCUCUCAGGCUCCUGACAUCUCAUUCGGGGCUCAGGAGGAAGACCUUAUGUCGAUCGCCUCAUCACAAGGCGGGCUUGAGUCCUCGGGAGAUGAGGAUUCGGCUGCGUUGCCUCCCUCGGGAGUGUCAUCGUUGCCCAGGUCCGAUCCCGAGCUGACAGCCGUGCUUUCCCGGGUAGUUAAGAGCAUCGCGCUUGAGUGGAAUCCUCCACCCUGUCCCGAGCGCUCGAGGCUGGAUGAUUGGUUCCUGGGGGCUGCUUGUGCUGAUCGCCAGCACCCCCCGCUGGUUCCUUUCUUUCUGUAAUAUAUCCCCCUCUAAUAAACCUGCCAUUUCUCUUGAAUUACACAGAUUUAUUCCCAAAAGUGAUUCUCACUCACAAAGACAAAUGCUUGGUAGGAAAGUAUGUCACUGCAACUAUCCUUUAG
ensembl:lncRNA